UUCGCUUCUCGGCUUUUGCUGAAGUAUCAAGUGUAGUAUCUGUUCUAUCAGUUUAUAUCUGAUAUGUCCCCCAUCGGGGGACUAUACAUAUUAAAUGGAUUUUUCGAACAGGGAGUCGGAAGCGGGGCUGCUCCGCCGCUCCACCAUCGACUCGGUAUUGCAGUCCUCCGAGAACGGUGCACCCUCU
rnacentral:snRNA from 1 species